UCUUGGGUGUACAUCAUCUGUGACCAGGGC
rnacentral:piRNA from 1 species